rnacentral:misc_RNA from 1 species
AAAGUCGUAACAAGGUCUCCGUUGGUGAACCAGCGGAGGGAUCAUUACAGAGUUGCAAAACUCCCUAAACCAUCGCGAACCCACCCCUAAACCGUUGCCUCGGCGGCGCCCCAGGCCCGCCGGCGCACCCCGAACUCUUUGUAUUUACUGGCCUCUCUGAGUACUGUACUUUAAUAAGUCAAAACUUUCAACAACGGAUCUCUUGGUUCUG